rnacentral:rRNA from 1 species
UAAGGAAUAUUGCUCAAUGGGAGAAAUCCUGAAGCAGCAACGCCGCGUGGAGGAUGAAGGGUCUAUGACUUGUAAACUCCUGUAAAGAAGGAAAAAAUUCCCAUUUGAUGGGAGAUGAUGGUACUUCUGGAGUAAGCCCCGGCUAACUACGUGCCAGCAGCCGCGGUAAUACGUAGGGGGCAAGCGUUGUCCGGAUUUACUGGGUGUAAAGGGUGCUCAGGCGGAUUUGUAAGUCAGAGGUGAAAUCUUACAGCUUAACUGUGAAACUGCCUUUGAUACUGCAAGCCUAGAGUAUGGAAGAGAGUGAUGGAAUAUCUGGUGUAGCAGUGAAAUGCGUAGAUAUCAGAUAGAACACCAAUGGCGAAGGCAGUCACUUGGUCCAUUACUGACGCUAAAGCACGAAAGCGUGGGUAGCAAA